AUUGAACGCUGGCGGCAGGCCUAACACAUGCAAGUCGAGCGAGCGGCGGACGGGAGAGUAAUGUAUGGGGACUGCCCGAUAGAGGGGGAUAACUACUGGAAACGGUGGCUAAUACCGCAUACUAUUGGAUAACCCAUAUGGGAUUAGUUAGUAGGUGGGGUAAAGGCUCACCUAGGCGCCGAUCCCUAGCUGGUCUGAGAGGAUGAUCAGCCACGCCGGGACUGACACACGGCCCGGACACCUACGGAGGCAGCAGUGGGGAAUGUUGGACAAUGGGCGCAAGCCGGAUGCAGCCAUGCCGCUUGUAUGAAGAAGGCCUUAGGGUUGUAAAGUACUGUCAGCGGGGAGGCGUUACGCGCAGAAGAAGCACCGGCUAACUCCGUGCCAGCAGCCGCGGUAAUAC
rnacentral:rRNA from 1 species